rnacentral:rRNA from 1 species
UACAGGGGGGGCAAGCGUUGUUCGGAAUUACUGGGCGUAAAGGGCUCGUAGGCGGCCGGCUAAGUCCGACGUGAAAUCCCCAGGCUUAACCUGGGAACUGCGUCGGAUGCUGGCGGGCUUGAAUCCGGGAGAGGGAUGCGGAAUUCCAGGUGUAGCGGUGAAAUGCGUAGAUAUCUGGAGGAACACCGGUGGCGAAGGCGGCAUCCUGGACCGGCAUUGACGCUGAAUAGCGAAAGCCAGGGGAGCAAACGGG